AGGAUCAACUAUGUCAGACAGACCACAAAUGUCAAAAAAUAAUUAUUUCUUGGAUUUUUUUUAGAAGUUCAUAUUUUAGUGUCUACGGUAUCAAUAAAUUGAACGGGUAUCGUUAAAAUUUUGCGUAAAUGUAUCAAGUAUUUGUCCGAUGUAUUUAUUGGCCGGUAGGAGCGAUUUUGUUUUUCACUUCUUUUUGAACGAGGAGCCUGCCAAUCGAAACCAAAAUGACACCUGGCAGGGGCAACUCUUCCAGUAUAAACACAGGGGAAAUGGUGUUGACCGCAAUUAAGAAACUGAUGAAAAACACAGGAUGGACUGCGCGCACCAUCAUCAAGUUUAUUAGAAUGGAGUAUCGUGUUGCUGAUCCAAAAAUAAGCCGAAAAGUUUCCAGGGCGUUAAAGCGUGGAGUGAGGCUGGGACUGCUGCAAAUGGAACAAGGUCGCUAUAGGCUCAAUGAAAUGUCUCGUCUGGCACAUUCUGUGAAGCCGCGCAGCCAGCGCCCGCGCAAGGCAACCAAGCAACGGGAACGCCCCCUAAAGGUGCGCAGUCGCACACCCUCCAGUGCAAGGACUGAUGACUACAGAAAUUGAAAAAUGUAAAAUAUAAAAAUGUUACUGAUUUUUUAUUGAAAAGUAAAUAAAGUUGUUCCUUUUUUUAGUA